rnacentral:rRNA from 1 species
AACUCGAAUGAACGAACGGAGAGAUUCAUAGACAUUCGGCGGCGUACGGGCGCACGGCGCAAUGCGCGUCGCUGGUCUCGGUCAUGCGGCGAGCACGCACCGCGUCCUUCGAUGUCCGCCGACGGCGUGCACUUCUCUCUCAGUAAUGCAUCGCGACCCGUUCGCGGUCGGCCUAAGCGCCAUCCGGGAGUCCGGCGGUGGGCGCUCCGGCGUCUGCCGCUGUACUGCGACCGAUCGCCGGCCGGCCGUUGCGGACGGUAACAACGAUGAAUAUAAAAUACGCUUUCGAAGCGAAUGCGCACGCGUUUAAAAGCGCGUCUGGCCCAACGCAAGCUUGCGUUCGCAGCCGAUGUCCUGCCGAAGUGCGGACGUUGGCUCGGCGCUGCUGCCGUGUCUAGCCGCCGUGCAGUCUCGGACCGUGCGCGUCUCCGUCUGCGAUGAUUCUGUUUCGGGCACUCGCAGGACUCGUCUUGAAACACAGACCAAGGAGUCUAGUAUGUAUGCGAGUCAUUGAGUUUGAAUUCAAUCGACAAAAGUGAAAGGCGUAACGAAAGUGAAGGCGCGCGCUCGCCACGCGCUCAGGGAGGAUGGAGCUUCGGUCUCGACCGGACUCUCGCACUCCCGAGGCGUCUCGUUUCGAACCAGUGAAUGCAGGCGCGCUCCGAGCACAGAUGCUGGGACCCGAAAGAUGGUGAACUAUGCCUGGUCCGGUCGAAGUCAGGGGAAACCCUGAUGGAGUACCUUAGCGAUUCUGACGUGCAAAUCGAUCGUCG